AGCAGCCGCGGUAAUUCCAGCUCCAAUAGCGUAUAUUAAAGUUGCUGCAGUUAAAAGCUCGUAGUUGAAUUUCGGGAUCAGUAUGUUGGUCGUGCCUUGGUACGUACUGGCUCAUUGGUUUCUCCCUUCUGACGAACCAUGAUGUCAUUAAUUUGAUGUCAUGGGGAAUCAGGACUGUUACUUUGAAAAAUUAGAGUGUUUAAAGCAGGCCCGCGCUUGAAUACAUUAGCAUGGAAUAAUGAAAUAGGACAUUUGAUUCUAUUUUGUUGGUUUCUAGGAUCGAUGUAAUGAUUAAUAGGGAUAGUUGGGGGCAUUAGUAUUCAAUUGUCAGAGGUGAAAUUCUUGGAUUUAUUGAAGACUAACUACUGCGAAAGCAUUUGCCAAGGAUGUUUUCAUUAAUCAAGAACGAAAGUUAGGGGAUCGAAGACGAUCAGAUACCGUCGUAGUCUUAACCAUAAACUAUGCCGACUAGGGAUCGGAUGAUGUUAAUUUUUAAUGAC
rnacentral:rRNA from 1 species